UGGGGAAUAUUGGACAAUGGGCGAAAGCCUGAUCCAGCCAUGCCUCGUGUGUGAAGAAGGUCUUCGGAUUGUAAAGCACUUUAAGUUGGGAGGAAGGGCAGUAAGCGAAUACCUUGCUGUUUUGACGUUACCGACAGAAUAAGCACCGGCUAACUCUGUGCCAGCAGCCGCGGUAAUACAGAGGGUGCAAGCGUUAAUCGGAAUUACUGGGCGUAAAGCGCGCGUAGGUGGUUCGUUAAGUUGAAUGUGAAAGCCCCGGGCUCAACCUGGGAACUGCAUCCAAAACUGGCGAGCUAGAGUAGGGCAGAGGGUGGUGGAAUUUCCUGUGUAGCGGUGAAAUGCGUAGAUAUAGGAAGGAACACCAGUGGCGAAGGCGACAACCUGGGCUCAUACUGACACUGAGGUGCGAAAGCGUGGGGAGCAAACAGG
rnacentral:rRNA from 1 species